AUUAAAGUUGCUGCGGUUAAAAAGCUCGUAGUUGGAUUACGAAGUGGUGUCUAAAUGUCAUUUUGGUUUGUUUGUCUUUCGGGGCAUUCAGGUCAACUUGGCUUUUACUCACUGUUGUCAUUGUCUUUGCCCAAGGUAUAUGCCUUGUGUGCAUGGCAUUGACCUUCUAUUUUAUGGUAAUGUUGUAUCUUUCGGGGUACAUUCAUUCCAUAUAGUUUACUUUGAAAAAAUUAGGGUGUUUAAAGCAGGCGAAAAGGCUUCGGAAUAUAUUAGCAUGGGAUAAUAGAAUACGAUCUAGGUCGUAAUUUGUUGGUUUCUACGGCUUAGGUAAUGAUUGACAGGGAUAGUUGGGGUCGCUCGUAUUGAGUUGUCAGAGGUGAAAUUCUAGGAUUAACUCAAGACGAACUAAUGCGAAAGCAUUCGGCAAGGAUGUUUUCAUUAAUCAAGAACGAAAGUUGGGGGAUCGAAGAUGAUCAGAUACCGUCGUAGUCUCAACUGUAAACUAUGUCGACCGAGGAUCCGGUAGCGUUACAUGGAUGACCUUCCGGGCACUCUGUGAGAAAUCAUAAGUAUUUGGAUUUCGGGGGGAGUAUGGUCGCAAGGCUGAAACUUAAAGGGAUUGACGGAAGGGCACCACCAGGAGUGGAAUCUGCGGCUUAAUUUGACUCAACACGGGAAAACUUACCAGGUCCGGACACAGUGAGGAUUGACAGAUUGAGAGCUCUUUCUUGAUUUUGUGGGUGGUGGUGCAUGGCCGUUUUUAGUUGGUGGAGUGAUUUGUCUGGUUAAUUCCGUUAACGAACGAGACCUUAACCUAUUAAAUAGCUGCGCGAACCCAGGUUCUUUAACCAUUCUCUCCUUCGGGGGGGCGUGGUAUCAUUAUUUUGCUUUUCACUUUCGGGUGGGAGGUAGGGUAGUGAUAGGGCCUGAGAUGAGUUGGUGAUUUGGCUUCUUAGAGGGACUACUUGCAUCCUUAGCAAGGGGAGGUUUGAGGCAAAAACAGGUCUGUGAUGCCCUUCGAUGUUCUGGGCUGCACGCGCGUUACACUGGCGCAUGCAAAGAGUUUAAAAUUCCUGUCCCGAUGGGGUUGGGAAAUCUUUUUAAAGUGCGUCGUGAUGGGGAUAGAGCAUUGAAAUUAUUGCUCUUGAACGAGGAAUUCCUAGUAAUUGCAGGUCAUCAACCUGCAAUGAUUACGUCCCUGCCCUUUGUACACACCGCCCGUCGCUCCUACCGAUGGUUGAACCGAUGAGGACUCGGGAUGAUCUUAUUAGAUCGGUCGGUCGAAAGAUCGAUAGACUAUUAGGUCAGAACUUGUUCAAAUCUUUUUAA
rnacentral:rRNA from 1 species